rnacentral:ncRNA from 1 species
AUAAUGAUACUUCUCUACGGAGCCGGUGGAGUACCCAGCGGGAGCGAGAGCUCAUGA